rnacentral:lncRNA from 12 species
AUGUUAUGUAGAGUUUUAGCAAGUGCCUUCAGGCGGUCAGCUAUGGGACUUUAUUCACAAAAGGGCUGGUCCCAAACAGUGAACACACCAAACCUCUCUGACCUUAUUUCAUUCCCACCCCCACAAAGGAAAGUGCUUUAUAAAAGGACUCCACAGUUCUCACAGGCAGAGGAUACCCAAACCAACCGCAAACAUGAUCCAAGGUUCGCGUUCAGCAAACAACAGGAAAGAUAUUCUCCUCAACAUUUUCCUCUUCCUCCUAGCUACAAAAUUCGAUAAAAGCUUUCAGUUACCACUGAGCGACUGCGGCUCAGAGUACAGACGUCCAGGUAUAGUUUUCAUUUCUGAUUGAAUCACACAGAAAUGAAUUGCUUGUUUACAUCAUAAAAAUACCA